UUCCAAUCACAUCGCGAAACAAGUAUGUACAAUGAUAUUGCUCCAACGAAGACAACCAUUCUUUUGAAGUAGAGUGUGAUUGGUGUAAUAGAAUAAUAUCCACUAUAGUAGUGUAGUUGAGAGAAACAAAGGAUGGACGUUGCAUUAGAAAAAGAUGCUUAACGGCAAAAACAAGAACCGCUUUUGAGCUUUCAUACUUUGCAUGCUUGGAGUGAUAAUUUUCGACAAGAAUCCGUAGGGCGUGACGAAAACUCUCAGUUUCAUCAAAACGGCGAGUA